GUUGAUGUAGCGUGAUCGUGAUGUCCGAGUGCUGCGAGUUUCAAUACUGUUUAUGUAGUCAUUGAGAGUUUAAACAAAGUUUCUUCUGAGAAGAGGAAUUCGAUGGAUGCAUUCAACGUGGACAACAAAAUCAUAAUUUCGUUUGCAUCAUCCUAAGGACCAGUGCAAGUUGAAAUGGGCUUCCAGCCAACAACUUCAACAGCAAUUUGCCAUGAAAAUCACCAAGAAAGGUACUUCAUUUACAUUGAUGAUGUCAUAUCCCCUGGACCCCACAACUUUACAGGUUACAGAGAAAAUUCAAGAACUUCUGCAAAAUGUGGGACUUGGAUAGAAUCAAUAAUGUAUUUGUGAGCCCAGAGCAAUGGAUAUAUUGUGCAACAUACUAAAGUGUGAAUUUAAUGGAAAACAAGUACAUGUACUCAUGUAUUACAUGUCUUUUUUAAAGACAAUAAUAUUGUAUAAUAACCGGCGCGAGCCCCCCUAAAAUUUUCAAGUUUAAAGUAAAUCGUGGUCUCUUGUUUAGAGAAAUAUAUACGAUAAAAGAAACUAUAAUUUCCUCCACUCUCAGAGAAAUAAAUGUCUGACAAAAUCUUUUGAUUUAUUGAAUUACUUUUAGUGGGAGAACUGCUACUUUUUCCAAAAACCCUUAAAAUUUGCGUUAUUUUAUUAAUUUCACCUGA